rfam:Triticum aestivum genome assembly, contig: Triticum_aestivum_CS42_TGACv1_scaffold_093048_2AL
CUAAUACUCCCUCCGUCCGGAAAUACUUGUCCAAAGAAUGGAUGUAUCUAGAUGUAUUUUAGUUUUAGAUACACCCAUUUGUAUCCAUUUCUAUGACAAGUAUUUCCGGACGGAGGGAGUAUACA